GGGGAUUUAGCUCAGCGGUAGAGCGCUUGCCUAGCAAGCGCAAGGCCCUGGGUUCGGUCCCCAGCUCCU
rnacentral:tRNA from 1 species